rnacentral:rRNA from 1 species
AUCCUGGCUCAGGAUCAACGCUGCGGCGUGCCUAAUGCAUGCAAGUCGCACGGGCACUCUUCGGAGUGUCAGUGGCGAACGGCUGAGGAACACGUGCGUAUCUGCCGGUUCGUGGGGAAUAACGCGGAGAAAUCCGCGCUAAUACCGCGUACGCUCACUCCUUCGGGGUGAGGAAAGCCUUCGGGCGCGGACGGAGGAGCGCGCGGCCCAUCAGGUAGAUGGCGGGGUAAUGGCCCACCAUGCCGGUGACGGGUCGCUGGUCUGAGAGGAUGCCCAGCCAGACUGGGACUGCGACACGGCCCAGACACCUACGGGUGGCAGCAGCAAGGAAUCUUCCGCAAUGGGCGCAAGCCUGACGGAGCAACGCCGCGUGGAGGACGACGGCCUUCGGGUUGUAAACUCCUUUUGUGGGGGAUGAUACGGACAGUA